AAUUACUAUAAUAACACCUUCACAU
rnacentral:miRNA from 1 species